rnacentral:rRNA from 1 species
CACGUAGGCACCAAGCGUUGUCCGGAUUUAUUGGGCGUAAAGAGCUCGUAGGCGGUUCAGUAAGUCGGGUGUGAAAACUUUGGGCUUAACCCAAAGCGUGCAUCUGAUACUGCUGUGACUUGAGUUCGGUAGGGGAGUGGGGAAUUCCUAGUGUAGCGGUGAAAUGCGCAGAUAUUAGGAGGAACACCGGUGGCGAAGGCGCCACCCUGGGCCGAAACUGACGCUGAGGAGCGAAAGCAUAGGUAGCAAACAGG